AUGGCUCGGCAGGGAGAAUGGACACUAACAGCAAUCUACGAUUGAUGCAUGUUAUCUCACAAACACUGGCUGUAAUGGUAUUGAACUCCUAGAAGCCUGCAACUUCGACCUCCAUUGCUUCCAAUUUCUUACCGAGCAUGCAAGACGAGAUGAUGGAUCUUAUAGAUGUGAGCAAUGAGAUACAAGAAACUCUUGGUUGAAGCUAUAAUAUGCCAAAUAACAUCGAUGAGGAAGAACUUAUGGGAGAGCUUGACGCUUUGGAAGCCAAUAUGGAGUUCAAAUUGAAUGCAGUCCCAUCCUGCCUUCAACAAGACAAGGAACGGUCACGUAGCUUCCCUAAACCGGCAGCAGGUACGUCCCUUGCAAGAAUGUCCCUAAUUCGCUUUGAUUGUGAUUCUUGUGUCUAUCAUUAUAAAGAAAAUGAUGGGUUAAUAUCAUUUUCC